AUGGUUGCCUGCACGCCGAAUGUCAGGGACAAACAAACUGGAUCUUUUCUGACAUCCGCCCGUGAGCUUGAGCCCUUAUGUAACGGGAGAAGUCUUCAGGCUGAGCUACUGCUGAGCUGUCUGCAAUUACACUCUGCUGGGGCACCGGGAUCACAGCUCCCCUGUGGAAGACGGCGCCACGGUGUCCUGGAUCUAGGGGCUACUAAUUGGCGUAGAUUAGGCAUGGCCAACUGCUUGGAAACUUGCUUUCGUGCUAAUGAAGAGUGGGAACAGGUAUCGGGAACCAACAGAUGGUUUCUCAGAAAUGUGAUGGAAUCAGAAAUCUUGGUAAGCAUUCAUUUAUUCUCUGAAUGCAAGUCAAACACUGCACUGGGGCUGGCACUACAGAACCGGAAAAGAUGUGAUCCCUGGUUCCUCCCUUCUCUGUAG
rnacentral:lncRNA from 1 species